ACAAAUUAAGUAUUCGGGUUGCCAUGGCUGGUGGGUUAGACCAGUUUUCUUACCGUUCCACUUUUUGCAGCACCUUUCUGGCAUCGAAGGUAAACAAAUCGUGCGUGUUUAAUAGCCACCUACGUACGUAGUUCCUAAAACGAAGAACAUACGCAUAUGCAACAUUCACUGCUAACCAUCGAUGUCAUUACAUGAGCAUUGCUUCAUUCAGAAAUCGUAAUAAAGACUAGUAGGGAGCUGGAGGAAGAAUACAUAAUAUGAUUACGGCGGAUUGCACCGAUAAAGGUGCGUUUUGCAGACUCGGGAAGGCGGCUUGUUCGUCGCUUUUGGCAAGCAACCGCCGUAGGACCCGCCGUUUGCCGGCUUACAGAUCGGCUGGUCCUUGAUGAAAGUUCCUUUCGUGAUCGGGGAGGGGUCUUGCUCUAAAAACAGCCGGCGGUUCGUCUCCGAGUCCGGCAAGAACUCCUCCUCCAGAAUCAGAGGUUUGUAAUCAAACGUAGGCUUCAGAGCCUCCAGAAACCCCCUUCCGAUCUCAUAAACAAAUUCAAACUCCUUCUCCCCCUCCUCUGCUUCGCAGUGGAUAUCACUUCCAUUGCAUGCGGAGCCUCGGUAAACAGCAGCAGCAGGAGCAGCCACAGCGGAGCGUGCUGAAAGCACAGCAUUGCUAAAAAGAAAUGCACCAAAGAGAAGAGUGAGAGCUCUCAAUCUCCUAAUCUCCAUCUGCGUUUCCACUCCUCUCCUUGUUUACCUUACCUUUGCUUUAAAUAGGAUGCCGUUGAUGUAGAUGGCAGGCCCACCUUCACGUGGGACGAGGGGUGGAGAGGGGUGCAAGAAGGUAAGAAAGAACAACGGUCUAGUAGAAAGAACAACGGUCUAGUAGGCUGAGAGAUAACCUCCUUCAAUUCACUAAAAAUCACACUGACUUAGACAUCGAAGGAUCUCUCGCCAAAUACGUUCCGACUAAAAAACUUUUUUGCUCUGUGCUGUUUUAGAUCGGAUUGCUGCCAUCCGACAAGAACCUCGACUACAAUAACCGAGUGCUGCUUACCUUCUCCAACUUCGACAAGAGUAGCCGAUCACCGAGCUUUC
rnacentral:lncRNA from 1 species